UCCUCCAUAGCUCAGUAGUUAGAGCGUCCAACCGGCACCUGGAAGGUCAUGGGUUCGAUUCCUGUUGGGGAGCUCAGAA
rnacentral:tRNA from 1 species